AGCUUUGCGCAGUGGUAGUAUCAUAGCCAAUGAGGUUUAUCCAAAGCGUGAUUAUUGCUAACUGAAAACAUUUCCCAAUACCCCACCAUGACGACUUGCAAUAUAGUUGGCAUUGGCAAUUUUUGAUGGUCUCUACGGGGA
rnacentral:snRNA from 1 species